rnacentral:rRNA from 1 species
UGGUGGAGUGAUUUGUCUGGUUAAUUCCGUUAACGAACGAGACCUCGACCUGCUAAAUAGUUGGGCGAAUUCUUCUGGAUUCGUGCCAUACUUCUUAGAGGGACUAUCAGCAUGGUGUACCUGAUGGAAGUUCGAGGCAAUAACA